rnacentral:misc_RNA from 1 species
GUGGCCUCUUAAGGGUUUUGACCCUGAUUACAACCGAAUGAAAGCUAAUGUAUCAUGGUUUAAUUUGGUUCCAGUAAAACAUAUAAUAUAUACAACAAUACAACAAUAACAACCAAAUUAGUUGGGGUUAGCUAUGUUAAUCUUUUUUCUCCAUUCAGCUCUGUUUGAGAUAAAUUUUGCGUCAAUAUUUAAAAAUUGUAAAUUUUGUCAUUAUCGCCCUCCACAUGGAGGCCAAUGGUAUGU